CCUACGGGUGGCAGCAGUGAGGAAUAUUGGUCAAUGGACGAGAGCCUGACCCAGCAACGUAGCGUGAAGGAUGACUGCCCUCUGGGUUGUAAACUUCUUUUAUAUGGGAAUAAAACAGGGUAUGUAUCUCUUCAUGUCUGUACCAUAUGUAUACGGAUCGCCUAACUCAGUGCCAGCAGCCGCGGUAAUACGGAGGAUCCGAGCGUUAUGCGGUCUUAUUGGGUUUAAAGGGAGCGUAGGUGGAUUGUUAAGUCAGUUGUGAAAGUUUGCGGCUCAACCGUAAAAGUGCAGUUGAAACUGGCAGUCUUGAGUGCAGUAGAGGUGAGCGGAAUUCGUGGUGUAGCGGUGAAAUGCGUAGAGAUCAGGAGGAACACCAGUGGCGAAGGCAGCUCACUGGACUGCAACUGACGCUGAUGCGCGAAAGUGUGGGUAUCAAACAGGAUUAGAUACCCCAGUAGUC
rnacentral:rRNA from 1 species